UACAGAGGUCUCAAGCGUUGUUCGGAUUCAUUGGGCGUAAAGGGUGCGUAGGCGGCUUUGCAAGUCGGGUGUGAAAGCCCUCAGCUCAACUGAGGAAGGGCGCCCCGAAACUGCAGAGCUUGAGUACCGGAGAGGGUGGCGGAAUUCCCCAAGUAGAGGUGAAAAUUCGUAGAUAUGGGGAGGAACACCGGUGGCGAAGGCGGCCACCUGGACGGUCACUGACGCUGAGACGCGAAAGCGUGGGUAGCAAACAGG
rnacentral:rRNA from 1 species